GAUGGCCUGUAUUGAAGCUGCAGCUUUUAUGAUUCAAAAAGAGCCCAGGUAUGAGAUUCUUUUUUUAAUGAUCUUUGACAUUAAAAAAAGAAAAAAAAAGGUACCCAGAUUGGUAACAAUUUUACUUGAUGGUCCCCAUUCAGUUUGCUAUUAACUGAUCUGCAAUAUUUUUGGAAAAUGAAAAAU
rfam:Erinaceus europaeus unplaced genomic scaffold scaffold00248, whole genome shotgun sequence